GCAGUGGGGGAUCCUCUGGGUGCUGCAGUGGAGGCUCCUCGAGCUACGGCAUGGGAGGAGGAUACAGCAGUGGUGGUUACUCAGGCUCCAAGAGCAUCAUUGGAGGAGGUGGAAGCAGUGGGGGAUCCUCUGGGUGCUGCAGUGGAGGCUCCUCGGGCUACGGAAUAGGAGGAGGAUACAGCAGUGGUGGUUACUCAGGCUCCAAGAGCAUCAUUGGAGGAGGUGGAAGCAGUGGGGGAUCCUCUGGAUGCUGCAGUGGAG